rnacentral:rRNA from 1 species
UUAAAUUGAAGAGUUUGAUCAUGGCUCAGAUUGAACGCUGGCGGCAGGCCUAACACAUGCAAGUCGAACGGUAACAGGAAACAGCUUGCUGUUUCGCUGACGAGUGGCGGACGGGUGAGUAAUGUCUGGGAAACUGCCUGAUGGAGGGGGAUAACUACUGGAAACGGUAGCUAAUACCGCAUAACGUCGCAAGACCAAAGAGGGGGACCCUCGGGCCUCUUGCCAUCGGAUGUGCCCAGAUGGGAUUAGCUUGUUGGUGGGGUAACGGCUCACCAAGGCGACGAUCCCUAGCUGGUCUGAGAGGAUGACCAGCCACACUGGAACUGAGACACGGUCCAGACUCCUACGGGAGGCAGCAGUGGGGAAUAUUGCACAAUGGGCGCAAGCCUGAUGCAGCCAUGCCGCGUGUAUGAAGAAGGCCUUCGGGUUGUAAAGUACUUUCAGCGGGGAGGAAGGGAGUAAAGUUAAUACCUUUGCUCAUUGACGUUACCCGCAGAAGAAGCACCGGCUAACUCCGUGCCAGCAGCCGCGGUAAUACGGAGGGUGCAAGCGUUAAUCGGAAUU